GCCUGCGGGGCCCGGCUUCUCCCCGGGGAGGUGGCGCCUCAAGGUCGACCUCUGCUGUGAUGCAGACAGGAUCCUGCUGCAGUCCCCUCAGUCCACUUAGUAAAUUGCUGUGUGGGCCAAGAUGUGGACUCCGCCGGCCCCGACCCUCCGCUGUUCCCGGUCCCGGAUUAGCUAAUGAAUACCCGCGUAGCCACAGACCCCGAGCCCGCAGACUGCGCUCAGAUGCCAGCACUGAGGGUUAUUUUAUUUUAGCCCAUCUUCAAACAGUGAGGAGGUGGAAGCUGAGGUUCCUUUCUCCACGCACCUUCCAGCGACUUCUGCUCAAGAACUGACCUCUAUGUCUGCCUCCCAACGCUGGCAUCGCACCUUGCUCUGCGAGAGACCCUUGUAUUCCAUGUGGCGUGAACAUUUCUGAGCUUUUCAUCAGAAGAGGAAGGGUCGGGUUUUCAAGUAGACGCGU
rnacentral:lncRNA from 1 species